rnacentral:rRNA from 1 species
GACGAACGCUGGCGGCGUGCUUAACACAUGCAAGUCGAGCGGGGUCCAUCCUGUCGCAAGACAGGGGAAGACCUAGCGGCGAACGGGUGAGUAACACGUGAGCAACCUGCCCCGAAGACUGGGAUAACACCGGGAAACCGGUGCUAAUACCGGAUGUCCUCAGAGAGUCGCAUGGCUCAUUGAGGGAAUGGAUUCCGCUUCGGGAGGGGCUCGCGGCCUAUCAGCUUGNGGUGGGUAACGGCCUACCAAGGCUCCGACGGGUAGCUGGUCUGAGAGGACGACCAGCCACACUGGGACUGAGACACGGCCCAGACUCCUACGGGAGGCAGCAGUGGGGAAUCUUGCGCAAUGGGCGAAAGCCUGACGCAGCAACGCCGCGUGGGGACGAAGGCC